UGGGUCUGGGGCUAUUGGUUUUGUCUUCUUGUUUUACGUUGGCCUUCAACUCUUUUUUACUCUUCUUAUAACCCCCAAAUCAUUCUCUUCAUCAUGAUCACAACACACACAUCUCUCUUUCUAUCUCUAUAAUUCUCUCUCCUCAUCCCCCUUGAAGAAAGGCGAGAGUCUAGGGGGGAUAAAAGGGAGAAGAGAGGAGAGAGUUGGGGAGAAACACACAAAAGGCUAAGGCUUUGACGGGGUGAAGAUUGGAGGCCAUGGAGCUUCUAUUUUGAGGGGAAUGUUGUCUGGCUCGAGGACACUUACCUUAACUUUGAUCCGUUUCUCUAGAUCCAUAUCUCCUAUAUAUAUGUAUUAUUGUAUUUUUAUUUGUACUGAGCAUGUGUUGGUGUCGUCGGACCAGGCUUCAUUCCCCCCAAUUAUCGCUUCCAUGGAGAGCUUUUCUCGGGCUUGAUCUUGGGUUCCACGUGCAGUUGCUAACGGAAAGAGUACUCGUCAAAACUAUGCAGAGAAAACAGUUGAUUGUAAAGACAGCUAAGGGAAGAGUCACCAGGCCUCUACACCCAUAGCCUCAAUCACUCUCUCUCUUAUCUCUCCAUUCUUCUUUACACGUUUGAAGCAACGUCAGCAUACAAGGUCAGACAUGGAUGGCUCUUCAAGCCAUGAAAUGGAUAUUAAUGGGCUGUGAUGAUCCCACCUCUGAUUUUGAAUCACUGUUCAAUCUUCAUUUCCAAAGUGCUGGCUAGGAAUCUAGGAAGCAAAUGUCAGUUUUUUUUUUUUCUCUUUCUUUGUUAUUUACUAUUAAUACAUGGCAUUAUAUUACACAUCCUUGGGAGUCAUCAAACUUUCUCACCCCUAUCUUCAUUGCUGUGGAAACUUUGGGGAGAGGGUUUGAGAAUAGGGCUCUGUGUGAAUGGUUUGUGUGGAGAAGUGCCUUUUGGGAAUUUGGAUCUUUUUGACUUUGUAAAUAUAAAGUAGAACACUUGUUACUUUGCUUUACUUUUAACCCAUGAUUUGAGAGCAAUAGAUAGAGGAAAACAACAACUUUAUGGCCA